GUCUAUGGCCAUGACACCCUGAACAAACCCGAUCCCGUCUGAUCGCUGAAGCUAAGCAGGGUUGGGCCUGGUUAGUACUUGGAUGGGAGAUCACCUAGGAAGACCAGGUACUGUAGGAG
rnacentral:rRNA from 1 species